GAUGAACGCUGGCGGCGUGCUUAACACAUGCCAGUCGAACGGAAAGGCUCCUGCUUGCAGGGGUACUCGAGUGGCGAACGGGUGAGUAACACGUGGGUGAUCUGCCCUGCACUUCGGGAUAACUUUGGGAAACUGGGUCUAAUACCGGAUAGGACGAUGGUUUGGAUGCUAUUGUGGAAAGUUUUUCGGUGGGGGAUGAGCUCGCGGCCUAUCAGCUUGUUGGUGGGGUAAUGGCGCACCAAGGCGUCGACGGGUAGCCGGCCUGAGAGGGUGUACGGCCACAUUGGGACUGAGAUACGGCCCAGACUCCUACGGGAGGCAGCAGUGGGGAAUAUUGCACAAUGGGCGCAAGCCUGAUGCAGCAACGCCGCGUGGGGGAUGACGGCCUUCGGGUUGUAAACUGCUUUCGCUAGUGACGAAGCGCGAGUGACGGUACCGGGUAAAGAAGCACCGGCUAACUACGUG
rnacentral:rRNA from 1 species